GANGANCGCUGGCGGCGUGCCUAAUACAUGCAAGUCGAACGGAGUGUGUGAGCAAUCGUACACUUAGUGGCGGACGGGUGAGUAACGCGUUGGUGACCUGCCCCAAAGCGGGGGAUAACAGCCUGAAAGGGUUGCUAAUACCGCAUGUGAUCGAGGGAGACUAGAAGCUCUUGAUUAAAGGAGAAAUCCACUUUGGGAGGGGCCUGCGUCCCAUCAGCUAGUUGGUAGGGUAAAAGCCUACCAAGGCGAUGACGGGUAGGGGACCUGAGAGGGUGACCCCCCACAAUGGAACUGAAACACGGUCCAUACACCUACGGGUGGCAGCAGUAGGGAAUAUUGCACCAUGGGCGAAAGCCUGAUGCAGCAACGCCGCGUGAGUGAUGAAGGCCCUCGGGUCGUAAAACUCUUUUCAAGAGGAAGAGGAAGGACGGUACUCUUGGAAUAAGCCUCGGCUAACUACGUGCCAGCAGCCGCGGUAACACGUAGGAGGCGAGCGUUAUUCGGAUUUACUGGGCGUAAAGCGCGUGUAGGCGGUUCUUUAAGUUGGAUGUAAAAGCUCCCGGCUUAACUGGGAGAGGACGUUCAAAACUAGAGAACUUGAGUACGAGAGAGGAAAAUGGAAUUCCGGGUGUAGUGGUGAAAUGCGUAGAUAUCCGGAGGAACACCAGUGGCGAAGGCGAUUUUCUGG
rnacentral:rRNA from 1 species